CAAGGAGCAACUUUCAGCCUGGGAUAGGCAUGGCAAGACAGUGAGGUGAGAGGUUACCCCAGAGACAGGUGGGCAGCCGGUGGAGACCCAGUGAAGACGCCACCCUGUUAAACUGAGAUUGGGAGCUUUCAGAAUCAGUGACUGGAAUACAGGUGCAGAUCAUAAGCAGAAGUAAAUCAUCAAUUUCAAAUGACACCUGAACGAGAGAUGGCCUUUCACUUUUGCAUGCCGGGAUGUAAAGAUUAUUUUGUAUACUCAAGUUUUGUAACUGAGGAAAAUAUUAAGUGUGGCCAUUCUAAUACAUUGCAGUGAAAAUACAGCACCUGACAAUAAAAGCAAUAAAACAUUUAAUAGAAUCCCUAU